rnacentral:rRNA from 1 species
CCUACGGGGGGCAGCAGUGAGGAAUAUUGGUCAAUGGGCGCGAGCCUGAACCAGCCAAGUAGCGUGAAGGAUGACUGCUCUACGGGUUGUAAACUUCUUUUAUAAAGGAAUAAAGUGAGGUACGUGUGCCUGUUUGUAUGUACUGUAUGAAUAAGGAUCGGCUAACUCCGUGCCAGUAGCCGCGGUAAUACGGAGGAUCCGAGCGUUAUCCGGAUUUAUUGGGUUUAAAGGGAGCGUAGGCGGAUUGUUAAGUCAGUUGUGAAAGGUGGGGGCUCAACCGUAGAAUUGCAGUUGAAACUGGCAGUCUGGAGUGCAGUAGAGGUAGGCGGAAUGCGUGGUGUAGCGGUGAAAUGCUUAGAGAUCACGAAGAACACCGAUUGCGAAGGCAGUUCACUGGACUGCAACUGACGCUGAGGCUCGAAAGUGUGGGUAUCAAACAGGAUUAGAUACCCCAGUAGUC